GUGCUCAAUUCGGCAGCACAUAUACUAAAAUUAGAAUGAUACAGAGAAGAUUAGCAUGGCCCCUGUGCAAGGAUGACAUGCAAAUUCAUGAAGUGUUCCAUAUUAAA
ensembl:snRNA U6 U6 spliceosomal RNA